UACGUAGGGUGCAAGCGUUGUCCGGAAUUAUUGGGCGUAAAGGGCUCGUAGGCGGUCCAUCGCGUCGGGAGUGAAAAGCUGGGGCUUAACCCCAGUCCUGCUUCCGAUACGGGUGGACUAGAGGUAGGUAGGGGAGAUCGGAAUUCCUGGUGUAGCGGUGAAUGACGCAGAUAUCAGGAGGAACACCGGUGGCGAAGGCGGAUCUCUGGGCCUUACCUGACGCUGAGGAGCGAAAGCAUGGGGAGCAAACAGG
rnacentral:rRNA from 1 species